AGUCUGACCUSCCCAAUGAUUUGUUUGAAUGSCCGCGAUAUUUUGAUCGUGCAAAGGUAGCAUAAUMAUUAGUUUUUUAAUUGAGAACUGGAAUGAAAGGUCGAACGAGAMMAUAACUGUCUCAGUUUAAGUUUAAAUUAGAAUUUUAUUUUUAAGUUAAAAAGCUUAAAUAAUUUUAAAAGACGAGAAGACCCUAUAGAGUUUAAUAUUUGUUAAUUAUUUUUUAAUUUUUAGAAUUUAAUUUUGAAAUUAAUUUAUAAAGUAUUUAAUUGGGGUGAUUGAAAAAUUUAAUAAACUUUUUUUAUAUUAUAUCAUUGAUUUAUGAUUGAAUGAUCCAUAUUUUAUGAUUAAAAGAUAAAAUUACCUUAGGGAUAACAGCGUAAUUUUUUUUGAGAGUUCUUAUCGAAAAAAUAGAUUGCGACCUCGAUGUUGGAUUAAAAUUAACUUAUGGUGUAGAAGCUAUAAAUGUUAG
rnacentral:rRNA from 1 species